AUUCCAUGAUUUGGACAUUUUCUCAUUAGUUCUAUAAAUCUCUCCCAAGCUUCAUACAAGGAUUCACCAUCAAAUUGUGUGAAUGAGGUGAUAUUGUUCCUCAUCUU
rfam:Theobroma cacao cultivar Matina 1-6 chromosome 4, whole genome shotgun sequence.